rnacentral:rRNA from 1 species
UACGUAGGAGGCAAGCGUUAUCCGGAAUUACUGGGCGUAAAGGGCGUCUAGGUGGUGGUCCAAGCGGGGUGUGAAAGCUCCUGGCUUAACUGGGAGAGUGCGCCGCGAACUGGACGACUAGAGGGCAGGCGACGUGGAUGGAAUACCCGGUGGAGUGGUGAAAUGCGUAGAGAUCGGGUGGAACACCAGUGGCGAAGGCGGUCCACGAGCCUGUGCCUGACACUGAAGCGCGAGAGCGUGGGGAGCAAACGGG